UCGAACGGAAACGAUGCUAGCUUGCUAGCAGGCGUCGAGUGGCGGACGGGUGAGUAAUGUAUAGGGAUCUGCCUAGUAGUGGGGGACAACAUGUGGAAACGCAUGCUAAUACCGCAUACGCUCUACGGAGGAAAGUGGGGGACCUUUCGGGGCCUCAUGCUACUAGAUGAACCUAUAUUGGAUUAGCUUGUUGGUAAGGUAAUGGCUUACCAAGGCGACGAUCCAUAGCUGGUUUGAGAGAAUGAUCAGCCACACUGGGACUGAGACACGGCCCAGACUCCUACGGGAGGCAGCAGUGGGGAAUAUUGCACAAUGGACGAAAGUCUGAUGCAGCAAUGCCGCGUGUGUGAAGAAGGCCUUAGGGUUGUAAAGCACUUUCAGACGUGAGGAAAAGUAAUAAUUUAAUAAAUUAUUACCUUGACGUUAACGUCAGAAGAAGGACCGGCUAACUCCGUGCCAGCAGCCGCGGUAAUACGGAGGGUCCAAGCGUUAAUCGGAAUUACUGGGCGUAAAGCGCGCGUAGGCGGAUAUUUAAGUCAGAUGUGAAAUCCCUGGGCUCAACCUAGGAACUGCAUUUGAUACUGGAUAUCUAGAGUAUGGUAGAGGUGAGUGGAAUUUCAGGUGUAGCGGUGAAAUGCGUAGAGAUCUGAAGGAACAUCAGUGGCGAAGGCGACUCACUGGGCCAUUACUGACGCUGAGGUGCGAAAGCGUGGGUAGCAA
rnacentral:rRNA from 1 species